rnacentral:misc_RNA from 1 species
AGCAACUCUGGAAAAAAGGAUGCUGAAGAGCAUCGAUUGCCGUUGGCCUCUUACGAGGAUCCCAUGAACAAAGAGAUGUGAUUAGACUAAUAGCAUUUUCACUGGCAGACGGAACUAGCAAAGAGAUAUCUACACCAGCAACCUGCGGAAAUUGGUAGUUGAUAGCACUAGCAAGUUCAAGUCCCUGAGCCCAGUUCCUCUUUGUUGGGGUCCCUAUAACACUGCAUAUUUUGUAGAUCUCAUCUG